rnacentral:snRNA from 1 species
CUGCUCGCUUCAGCAGCACAUAUACUAAAAUUGGAAUGAUACAGAGAAGAUUAGCAUGGCCCCUGCACAAGGAUGACAUGUGAAGCGUUCCAUAAAAGUCCUACUUUAAU